UGAUGCAGCGACGCCGCGUGAGGGAUGAAGGCCUUCGGGUUGUAAACCUCUUUCAGUAGGGAAGAAGCGAAAGUGACGGUACCUGCAGAAGAAGCGCCGGCUAACUACGUGCCAGCAGCCGCGGUAAUACGUAGGGCGCAAGCGUUAUCCGGAAUUAUUGGGCGUAAAGAGCUCGUAGGCGGUUUGUCGCGUCUGCCGUGAAAGUCCGGGGCUUAACUCCGGAUCUGCGGUGGGUACGGGCAGACUUGAGUGAUGUAGGGGAGACUGGAAUUCCUGGUGUAGCGGUGAAAUGCGCAGAUAUCAGGAGGAACACCGAUGGCGAAGGCAGGUCUCUGGGCAUUAACUGACGCUGAGGAGCGAAAGCAUGGGGAGCGAACAGGAUUAGAUACCCUGGUAGUCCAUGCCGUAAACGUUGGGCACUAGGUGUGGGGGACAUUCCACGUUUUCCGCGCCGUAGCUAACGCAUUAA
rnacentral:rRNA from 1 species